rnacentral:rRNA from 1 species
UACGUAGGGGCUAGCGUUGUCCGGAUUUAUUGGCGUAAAGAGCGUGUAGGCGGCCAGGUAGGUCUGCUGUGAAAACUCGAGGCUCAACCUCGAGAUGUCGGCGGAAACCAUCUGGCUAGAGUCCGGAAGAGGAGAAUGGAAUUCCUGGUGUAGCGGUGAAAGUGCGCAGAUAUCAGGAAGAACACCCGUGGCGAAAGCGGCUCUCUGGGACGGUACUGACGCUGAGACGCGAAAGCGUGGGGAGCAA